CGAGUGGCGGACGGGUGAGGAAUACAUCGGAAUCUACUCUGUCGUGGGGGAUAACGUAGGGAAACUUACGCUAAUACCGCAUACGACCUACGGGUGAAAGCAGGGGAUCUUCGGACCUUGCGCGAUUGAAUGAGCCGAUGUCGGAUUAGCUAGUUGGCGGGGUAAAGGCCCACCAAGGCGACGAUCCGUAGCUGGUCUGAGAGGAUGAUCAGCCACACUGGAACUGAGACACGGUCCAGACUCCUACGGGAGGCAGCAGGU
rnacentral:rRNA from 1 species